rnacentral:lncRNA from 1 species
GAGGAAAAAGAUCGGCCGCUCAAUUUUGGAAGCGCAUGAUACGAGGCUUGUUAGUUUGUAAUUUUUUUGAAACUGUUAAUUUACAAUUUAAUUGUUUUGAGAAGACCUUGAACCCAUUUUAACAUUUUUUGAUAUAUUCCGGUGAAGAAGAUUAAGACAUUGAUUUGGGAAGUCCUAGGUUUGUGCCACAGAUUUGAGCCGUUGAUAUUCAGAUGAUACCAGAAUUAACAAUUUCAUAUAAGAAGAGGAGGGGCA